GCGUCGUCGGUGUAGUGGCAACACACAAUCUGAGUUUAACGGAAGAGGACCAGCAUUGAGAUUGAGUCCUGGGUUCGAAUCCCGGACGGCGCA